UUUAUCGGAGAGUUUGAUCCUGGCUCAGGACGAACGCUGGCGGCGUGCCUAAUACAUGCAAGUCGAGCGGACAGAUGGGAGCUUGCUCCCUGAUGUUAGCGGCGGACGGGUGAGUAACACGUGGGUAACCUGCCUGUAAGACUGGGAUAACUCCGGGAAACCGGGGCUAAUACCGGAUACUUGUUUGAACCGCAUGGUUCAAACAUAAAAGGUGGCUUCGGCUACCACUUACAGAUGGACCCGCGGCGCAUUAGCUAGUUGGUGAGGUAAUGGCUCACCAAGGCAACGAUGCGUAGCCGACCUGAGAGGGUGAUCGGCCACACUGGGACU
rnacentral:rRNA from 1 species